UACGGGGGGGGCAAGCGUUGUUCGGAAUUACUGGGCGUAAAGGGUUUGUAGGUGGCUUGCUAAGUCAGACGUGAAAUCCCUCAGCUUAACUGGGGAACUGCGUCUGAGACUGGCAAGCUUGAGUGCAGGAGAGGAACGCGGAAUUCCAGGUGUAGCGGUGAAAUGCGUAGAUAUCAGGAGGAACACCGGUGGCGAAGGCGGGUCUCUGGGCCGAAAUUGACGCUGAGGAGCGAAAGCGUGGGGAGCAAACAGG
rnacentral:rRNA from 1 species